CCGACCUUCGCCCCUCUAGUUUUGUGUUUCUUGUGGUGUUGUCGGAAGGAAUAAAAAUAAAAAUAAAACAUCCAGUGGAUCACUUUGAUCCAGAGGGGCUGACAGGAUGCAGAGAGGGGUGAGCAUGGUGUCUCUGCUGGUUCUGGGGUCGGCCUGGGUCGUGCACACGGUCCCUCUGCCCCUGGAACCUUUUAACCUCACACAGGACAACUUUGAUCUGGCUCAGUUCAUGGGGCACUGGUAUGAAGUAGCAGUGGUUUCUACGUGUCCUUACUACAUGCAGCGCAAGAGGGGAAACCCCUUCUCUGUUGCACUGGAGCUGCAACAUGUGGCCUCGAAUGGCAGCUUCACUAUGACAACCACGAGUUUCAGGAAUGGCUCAUGUAAACAGAUGUCCACAGAUUAUGCUCUGACCAGCACUCCGGGACGAUUCUUCCAUCAUUUUGCAAGGUUUGAGGCAGAUGUUGAUUCCUUUGUGGUUCAUUCCAACUAUGUUGAGUACGCAAUGAUUCUUCUGCUGAGCGUAGAAAAACCAUCAGGAAAUAAAACCACCUCACUCAAGCUUUAUAGUCGAACUUUGAGUCUGACAGCUAGUGUGCUGGAGGACUUUAAAAGGCUCGUCAGACAACAUGGUGGGAGUGUUGAUGCGAUCAUCAUGAAUCAGAACAAAGGUUGGUGUAUUCCAGGUGAGCGAGUGACACAGCCCGUCAAUCCUCAGCCUCAGAUAUGUGUAUCAUCCAGAUUCUUCUUCCCAAGAGGUGGGAAAUAGAUCCGGUGCCACCUGUGGUUCCUGCACAAGAGGAGUACGCCGGUAACGUUCGACCAGGAUGACAGAUCAUGUGGAUUGACGGAAGAGGACCAACAUCCCUAUGCUUUAUCACUUUUGUAUUUUAUUGGCCUAUAUAUAAAAUGGGAAUAAAGUGAAACUCGUUUUGUA